GAGGAUUGACGAAUAGCAUGUAACUAGCAAUCAUUGGGGAAUCGGGGUUUUGAGUUUUUACUGUAAGAACAAUCAUUGUUAAGUUUUGCUUCCUAGCAAGUUGUUGCAAAUGCAGAGAAGUUGUAAUUGUGAAUGUGAUUUCAUAUUUUAGUAUUUUCUUGGUACUGCGACCCUUAAAGCUCGGAUUCUAUUGAGGUUCUUGAACUAGAUGAUGACAUUCUAUUGUUGGCAUUCCCAAGUUUCAGUUAUAAGAAAUCAUAUGUAGUUACUUUGUUCUCAGAACUGAUGGAUAUUUAGUUUAAGAAGCUGUUUUGGGUUUAUAAGAAAUCAUAUGUAGUUACAUUUCUAUUUAGUUUAUGAGUACUAUUUUGUGUAUUAUUAAAUAAAAAAAUUGACAUGCU
rnacentral:lncRNA from 1 species